GGGGGGGGGGGGGAGGAGGGGAAAGGGGGGGGGGGGGGCGGGAGGGAAGGGGGAGGGGCGGGGAGGGGGAAGGGGGGGGGGGGAGCGAAGGGAGGGGGGGAAGGGAGGGAGGCGGGCGGGGGGCUUUUUUUUUUCUUUUUUGUUUUUUUCCCAACCCCCUCCCGGCCCUUCUAGGUUUUGUUAUAUUUUUAGUUUUCCGGGCGCGCCCCGGGACCCUAGCUAACAAGAUGGGAAAAUAUAGGUCUUCCUUUUCGGGGCGCCGGAGGGUGGAUAAAUGGGGGGCACCCCUAUAAAAGGGGGGUGUAAUUGGGGACCCGGGAUUAUACCCGAAACCUUUGGCCCCCUUGGUUAAAAGGAAAGGUGUUUUUCUUACAAUUAAAAGGCCGCCCGCCUUUUUAUCUUUGUGAUAGGUACCGCUUACCCAGGGGGAGAUACCUCCCCCCCCGGGAGGGGUUAUCGCCCACACUGGAAAUGAACCCCCGUCCCAGCUUCCUAGGGGGGGCACCAGUAGGAAUUCUCCCCAAUGGGAGAAACCCUGACGGAACAACCCCCGCGUGAAUGAUGAAGGGUUUCGGCUCGUAAAACUCUGUUAUUAGGGAAGAACAAAUGUGUAAGUAACUGUGCACGUCUUGACGGUACCUAAUCAGAAAGCCACGGCUAACUACGUGCCAGCAGCCGCGGUAAUACGUAGGUGGCAAGCGUUAUCCGGAAUUAUUGGGCGUAAAGCGCGCGUAGGCGGUUUCUUAAGUCUGAUGUGAAAGCCCACGGCUCAACCGUGGAGGGUCAUUGGAAACUGGGAAACUUGAGUGCAGAAGAGGAAAGUGGAAUUCCAUGUGUAGCGGUGAAAUGCGCAGAGAUAUGGAGGAACACCAGUGGCGAAGGCGACUUUCUGGUCUGUAACUGACGCUGAUGUGCGAAAGCGUGGGGAUCAAACAGGAUUAGAUACCCUGGUAGUCCACGCCGUAAACGAUGAGUGCUAAGUGUUAGGGGGUUUCCGCCCCUUAGUGCUGCAGCUAACGCAUUAAGCACUCCGCCUGGGGAGUACGACCGCAAGGUUGAAACUCAAAGGAAUUGACGGGGACCCGCACAAGCGGUGGAGCAUGUGGUUUAAUUCGAAGCAACGCGAAGAACCUUACCAAAUCUUGACAUCCUUUGAAAACUCUAGAGAUAGAGCCUUCCCCUUCGGGGGACAAAGUGACAGGUGGUGCAUGGUUGUCGUCAGCUCGUGUCGUGAGAUGUUGGGUUAAGUCCCGCAACGAGCGCAACCCUUAAGCUUAGUUGCCAUCAUUAAGUUGGGCACUCUAGGUUGACUGCCGGUGACAAACCGGAGGAAGGUGGGGAUGACGUCAAAUCAUCAUGCCCCUUAUGAUUUGGGCUACACACGUGCUACAAUGGACAAUACAAAGGGCAGCUAAACCGCGAGGUCAUGCAAAUCCCAUAAAGUUGUUCUCAGUUCGGAUUGUAGUCUGCAACUCGACUACAUGAAGCUGGAAUCGCUAGUAAUCGUAGAUCAGCAUGCUACGGUGAAUACGUUCCCGGGUCUUGUACACACCGCCCGUCACACCACGAGAGUUUGUAACACCCGAAGCCGGUGGAGUAACCAUUUAUGGAGCUAGCCGUCGAAGGUGGACAAAUGAUUGGGGGAAGUCGAACAAGGAGCAUGGG
rnacentral:rRNA from 1 species